rnacentral:piRNA from 1 species
CAGGCCAUACUGUGCUGCCU